GCCCUAGUGGCAUAAUGGUUAAGCACUUGGUUGCUAACCAAAAGGCUGGUGGUUCAAACCCACCUAGAGGUU
rnacentral:tRNA from 1 species